rnacentral:rRNA from 1 species
CCUACGGGUGGCUGCAGUGGGGAAUAUUGCACAAUGGGGGAAACCCUGAUGCAGCGACGCCGCGUGAAGGAAGAAGUAUUUCGGUAUGUAAACUUCUAUCAGCAGGGAAGAAAAUGACGGUACCUGACUAAGAAUCCCCGGCUAACUACGUGCCAGCAGCCGCGGUCAUACGUAGGGGGCAAGCGUUAUCCGGAUUUACUGGGUGUAAAGGGAGCGUAGGCGGUUUAGCAAGUCAGAAGUGAAAGCCCGGGGCUCAACUCCGGGACUGCUUUUGAAAUUGUUGAACUAGAGUGCAGGAGAGGUAAGUGGAAUUCCUGGUGUAGCGGUGAAAUGCGUAGAUAUUAGGAGGAACACCAGUGGCGAAGGCGGCUUACUGGACUGUAAAUGACGCUGAGGCUCGAAAGCGUGGGGAGCAAACAGGAUUAGAUACCCCUGUAGUC